rnacentral:rRNA from 1 species
GGACUACUCGGGUUUCUAAUCCUGUUUGCUACCCACGCUUUCGUGUCUCAGCGUCAGUUACGGUCCAGAGAGCCGUCUACACCACCGGUGUUCCUCCUGAUAUCUACGCAUUUCACCGCUACACCAGGAAUUCCACUCUCCCCUCCCGCACUCUAGCCCCCCAGUUUUCGGCGCACCCUCCCGGUUGAGCCGGGAGAUUUCACACCAAACUUAGGGAGCCGCCUACACACCCUUUACGCCCAGUAACUCCGAACAACGCUCGCUGCCUACGUAUUACCGCGGCUGCUGGCAC